CUUUACAAUGCCGGCAACGGCGAUAAGGGGACCUCGAGUGCCAGGUUACAAAUCUGGCUGUCGUGAUGCCUAAAAGCAUUGCAUAGCAAGGGCCGGGCAAGACCGGUGCCAGCCGCCGCGGUAAUACCGGCGGCUCGAGUGGUGGCCACUUUUAUUGGGCUUAAAGCGUUCGUAGCUGGGUUGUUAAGUCUCUUGGGAAAUCUGACGGCUCAACCGUCAGGCGUCCAAGGGNUACUGGCAAUCUUGGAACCGGGAGAGGUGAGGGGUACUUCGGGGGUAGGAGUGAAAUCCUGUAAUCCUCGAGGGACCACCUGUGGCGAAGGCGCCUCACCAGAACGGCUUCGACAGUGAGGGACGAAAGCUGGGGGAGCAAACCGGAUUA
rnacentral:rRNA from 1 species